CAAUAGCGUAUAUUAAAGUUGUUGCAGUUAAAAAGCUCGUAGUUGGAUUUCUGGUGGGAGCACGGGUCGGCCCUCACGGGUUGUACUGUUGUUGCGUCCCGCCGUUUCGGAGGGAAUGGUCUCGCUAUUAAGUUAGCGUGAUCGGGAACUCUGUCGUUUACUGUGAAAAAUUAGAGUGUUCAAAGCAGGCCUUCGCUGUGAAUACAUUAGCAUGGAAUAAUAAGAUAGGACUGUAGUGCUAUUUUGUUGGUUUGCGUACUAUGGUAAUGAUUAAUAGGGAUAGUUGGGGGUAUUCAUAUUCAAUUGUCAGAGGUGAAAUUCUUGGAUUUAUGGAAGAUGAACUACUGCGAAAGCAUUUACCAAGGAUGUUUUCAUUAAUCAAGAACGAAAGUUAGGGGAUCGAAGAUGAUUAGAUACCAU
rnacentral:rRNA from 1 species